rnacentral:lncRNA from 1 species
AUCUUUCGAUUUAUAAUGAGAGAAAAUCCAUAGAAAGAUGGAAGUCAUCAUCAUCCCCUUUAUCGAUCACAGCCUCUUCCUCCACCCAUGAUUUCGUUUUCCCAUUGACAAAUCAGACGAAGACGAACUUGCAUUUGUUGAAUCAAAAAAAAGAAAAGAAGUGUUCUCUUUCUCCAGCGAAAAGAACAGUCUCGCAGGAAGAUCCAAAUACUUACUAUAUGUGCGUAUAUGUAUAAACUCUUAUAUAGUCUAGUUUUCCCGCCCUAUCUAGAGAAGGAAUCAAUUCCCCUUUUUGAAUGUACAAAAAUUGGUAGAGCUCAGCAUGUCUGGAAGCACGGGAGAACGCUCUUCUGCUUAUAUUAUUACCAGUAUUCGAUACUGGGUUAUUCAUAGCAUUACUAUACCUUCCUUAUUCAUUGCGGGUUGGUUAUUCGUCAGCCCAGCUUUCACUUGGAAAAAUAGGAGAUUUAGUUCCACGCUUUGAUUGGUAGCAGAAGGGAGGGCGCGUUGCCAGCCUUCAUUUUUCUUGGAUAUUCAACACUAAAUGAAAUGCAAAUGCAUAUGAGAGAACUUCAAACUACUUUACUUAUUUGCAACAGCAAGCUGAAUAAUAGAAUAAAUAAGCAAGGAAGGAAAUAAAGAAUAGGGUUGUCGCUGAUACGCUGUUUGGAUUAGAUGUCGCAAUAUCGGUUGUAGUAUUUCAGCUCUUUCUAUAAGCUAAGAGAGAUGUCGCAUAAUCGGUUGUUCAUGAUCUUAUAAUUCAUGGACCAAAGUCGCAAAUCGCUUGUUCUCAUUCAAGCAUGAGUUCGUUCAAAGUCGGCAAGGGGAAUCAGAGAAAGGGCUGUUUAGUCAACAAUCAUGACCAUGGGAACAUUUGUUCGCUUUCUAGGUACCCCCGGAUCUACUAGUCAUCGCCUUUGAGCCGGGAAAAGCAUUUACCCUGAGUCGGCUAUUCCUGAUUCAGAAAGGAAAGGUAUGUGGGUAGACAUUGAGUUAGAGAUUGAAUGAAGGGGCACACUAGAGAAAAGCAAGGACAAGUAGCUAGUUGACUAAUGCUUUCGAGCACGUACGCUGGCGCUCUUUGAUAGAGCAUUAUCUACAACCCUGAAGCGAACUAUGAAAAAGAAAUCUAGCAGUCUCUUCCAGCAAUGAAUUGUAGCAGGGCUUGGUCUCGAAAGGUAUAGAUACCACCAGAAGCUUGGAAAGAAGAAGGAAUGUCGACCUACCGCUCCGUGGGCUUUGAACCUUGCUUUUCUGUCAAAUUCUCAGACGCUAUAGCUGUGUAAAAACAGUACUCGAUUUCUCACUAGAAAAAACAACAGUCUUUAUUGUUGUGUGCAUAUUAGUCACUGAUUAUAGCUUUGAAUAGGACAAACUACUUUAGUAACUCUUGACUAUUGCUUGAAACAAGCGUUGAAGCAAUGGAAAGAAGCGAACGGUUAAGCUAAUGCAGCAAGAAAAGGGAUGCAGCAAGUGUCCAAAAAUCGGAUAUGCCCGGUGAAAAUUAGAAACAAGGCUGAGGAAGGAUUUCGUACUGCCACAAUGCUCUUGAUAGAAGGAAGCAUGAAUACCGAAGGCCUACCUAGUUGAAAUAGGAACAACUAUGGAAGUCCUCGGCCAAACGAAUAUUUCACGGAAAGCCGACAAGGGAUUUUCUUAAUAACUGGGCGCUUUGAUUCUUUGGAACAACUCGAUGAAUUUAGUAGAUCUUUUUAGGAGGCCUUCCAUGACCAUAGAUCGAACCUAUCCCAUUUUGACAGUACGAUGGUUAGCUGUUCACGGAUUAGCUGUACUGGAAUGACAACACAUAUGAGAAUCUGUACACGAUACAGAAUAACGACACGACACGCAAUCUUAUGACUACAGUAUGGCCUUCAUCUUUGACAGCAAUCAUGACAGGCCGCGGUAUUAGCGUUAGAGAAAGGAAAGGACUUGAGGUCCGUCCACCUACAACUAAUAAAGCUCCGCCUUUGGGGACUACUACAACAGAUAGGCAUUUGAAGGACCAAACCACCUACUGAGGACUUUGACACCCAGCCCUUAAGAAGCAGAAUCUACAACUUUGGGAUACGUAUUUACAGACUGCAAAAGAUAGAUACAAUGCUGUUACCCACCAUGCAUGCAAAUCUUAGUUCUAUGGACAAUUAGUACCAGGAACGUCAUCUACUACUGCGAAACUCCCGGGGGACGCUUUUCUAACUGGUUUAGCCUCUAGAGUGGGGAGGAAGAACACCCUCUAGACCAGGAUAACUUACUAAUUCAAUUGACAAAGCGUCCUAUUUGCUAGAUUUCUAGUCGUUAGCUCUUAGUGAAGACGAAUUGCUAUCAUCUGCGGGCGGCCCUCAUUAUUGAAUUUAUCCGCCUUCGAUGCAACCAAAUUCACUAUUGACUUACGAGUUUAUGCAUGCUUCAUUCCUAUAUCGGCAUGUAUUAUCCGUAGGCUGGUUGUGAGACAUCUUCCUCUUAGUGCUACAAAUGGCUUCUUCCUUUGUUCUUUAUAGAUCUUUCACCUCUUUUAGACUCUUUGCAGUGUUUAGUGCGGGGAACUCUACACUAUUGUACUCAGAUGCUAUUCCUUCAAGAAAGUAUCGGAAAGCAAAAAGGGACUCGUUCACCGUAUCGCGUCCAAUACAGCUAUGCCACAAGUUGACCUAACCAACUGGUAAACAAAACCCAAGUUAACGGAUCGACCUAGGAAUAGGAUGAAUAGAACCAUUGAAUCGUCACCCAAUGGAGCAGAGAGCCUUCCUUUAAGAAAGAAAUAACUCCCUACAACAACCGUGUUUCGAAACUCGAUUCAUUAUCAUACGAGAAAUUUCAUGAAAAGAACCUUCAUUCCUACAGAGAGGUUGAAGCUAAGUUUCAAGACCUAGUACGGGCAAAGCGCAGUUCAAAACCGAAAGGAUCAAAGAAAAGGGAAUAUCACGAAGGUAAGCACAUUCUAUUUUUCUUAAUUGACAAAGCAAAGAGAGUUAUCAACCCUUUUUUCCGACACCCUAUAACGGCUAGUUCCCAAUGCUCGGCUUCCUACCUCCUCUAACAAAAUCAAAGGUAAUAUCCUCCGUUUUCCAAGAAGAUAAGUUCUACGGCAAAGGAUGUCAACGGAACAGUUUCGGCAAAGGCAAAGCCCGGGAGAAAUCCAAUAGCGUAUGGCGAUAAUGUCAUCCCCACCGAAUCCUCAUCUUCAAAGCAUUUUAUUGCAAGGGCCUAUCGCGAAAGAACUCAAGCCAAUACUUUUUCAUUUUCAUGUAGUAGAUCCUAGGAAACAUACGUACGAGAUAUUUACAGCCCUUCUUCGGCAAGGGUAUCCGGUAAAAGGAGGACGAUUCCUAAUCUUUUGAUCGGCAAAGGGUUCGAUGCAUUAGUUUUCGACUAUGAACGAGUCAAUCAGCUAGAUCUACUUGCGGCAAACGGCACCUUCCUUUCCCAGCCAAUGGUACGUAAGGCAAUGGUUGUUAUUGAAGUUCAGAUCAGGGAAUACCCUAGGUUUCGGCUUUUUCCACGGUUCCGUAACGGUAGGUUUCGGCUCCUCGCUACAUCCCUUCCGCUCCUACUAAGGACGCUGCUGAACCGAUAGAAUUUGCCGAGCGAGCACAACCAUAACUUAUGGUAUCUGACCAGUGUUAAGCAUUAGCCAUCCAGGGAAUGAAACUAUGCGACUACCUGCGCUGUCACACGGCUCCAUUUAUCGAAGAAAGGGAUAACUGCCAUUAAGGCAAUGAAAUUGACGAGGAAGAGUCAGGAGUUUGGCUGCGCCAAAGCAGAGGAACGGAGGGAAGCAGCCGCCGCUGCACGGCUCCUGCGCAUUAUCAAAACCAGGCAAUGUAGUCAAUGAACAAAAGUUUCGUUUACCACUGGGGUUCUUCAUAUGCACAGUCAGCUCAGGUAACGUCCAGAGGUGUUAAUACAAAGCAAGAAUUGGAUUCUAAGUAUUGCCAUUUCGUGUUCAGAAGUCUGAAGCACAUCAUUUGCGGGAAGCAGCGAGGAAGAAAAGCGUACCGUAUUGACGGUAGUGCAGAAUGAUCUCCGUCACGAUAUCGUACGUAUCUCCAGAGCAUGAACGUACGGUAUACAACCGAGUUGCCCGACGUCGGACACAACAAACUUUCGAGCACCCUGUUCAUUUAGCCUCUUAAUCGAUGGAAAGAAAAUAGAGGUCUGCAGCAAACAAGAGCAAGCGACACUAAACUACAGUAGUGAUAAAUUGAUGCUGCCUGCACGCACAGAUUCAGGAGAUGACAAUUUUAGCUUCAAUAUGAGAUGCCAAUGAUGCAUUCAAAAAGGAAUGAGUGCUGCCCGAGUCGACCAAGAAAAGAGGGUAACAUCCAAAUUAUGGACUACUGAGCAAGCUAACUGAAUGGAACGGAGUGCAGGAGAUUUCUGAUUAGCUUCAGCGGAGAGGACCCUUAGAUCCGAAGCAGAGUCAUCAUGGUCCUGUAACAUAGAAUAGCCUGCAGCAGUACUCCGCGAUAAUUCCGCCAUUUCCUGAACAACAUGGAGUUGAACAGUAGCUUUACACUGACAAUCCUUCGCCCAGCGCUCACCACAACCAAUCCAGAGAACCUUCGCGCGCCGAUAAGCCUUCAGUCUAUCAUAAGAAGAAUACUUGAAACUUACACUUAGACACUUGAGUAACCAAUCAAAUCGAACAUCUUGUGGCAUGCUCACCAAUAUUGACGUAAAGUGAGGUGAUCAGGGUUGAUGCUGUGAUGCGAAGGGAAGGGGCCACUCAAUUCAAUUCAAUGUCGUAAUCCGACCUGGCUUCUCCUGUCCGCACUUGGGAUAGAUUGAUACUCGUUUUUUGCUGGAUUUGAACUUGCUUAAAAAGAAAGGACUCAGCUUCCGCAAAAGUGAUCGAUGGAGAAGCUCAAAAGUCUCAAUCCACCACUAGCUAUCAUUCAAGUUUGCACUUUUCGAGCUCAUCCUUACCUUUGCGCUUUAGCUGCUUGUUCCCACUAACCCAUUUCAUUUUCUUAGUUGGAUCCUUCAUAAAGUAUCUCUUAUCGCUUGUCCAGAGCCUGGAUGUCAACCUUAGCCAGAGCCUGUAUCUCAUCAGUCUCCAUCUGAGCCUCAAUCGUGAACUGAAGAUGACGCGCGGUCAGCGAGGAAUGAAUUCGAAAACCCGUACUUGGAGCAUUAUUGCACUUGGGAUAAAGUAGAUGUCGAAACAGCUUCUUCUUCAAGUUCGCUAUCGUGAGGGAUGUCUAUGAUAAUAUGCUCACUGCAUAUGAGUUAGUUCAUUCCAUGAGGUCGAGGAAAGGUUGAAACCAUUUUAGAGCUAGGCGGGGUCUCUCAGAUGCAGACUAACCCAUUUCGACGUGAAGCAUCACAUCGGCUUGUGAUCCUAAAUCUAGUGAUUGAUUAUUGACUUGUCAAGGGCAGGUUGGUGUCUUAAUGUGGAGGAAUUCCGUACCUAAGAUAAGAAGUUUCAUUUCAUGCCUACCGUAGUCCCUAUUUUAUUGGGCAUAGUCCCCCUUACCUACUCCCGAGAGUAGAAAAUCAACAUUUAUGUCGUUCUUAAUAAGAAAUAGAUGCUCGGGUAGCAAAGUUGCCUACCAUUAGGUAUUGUUUGAGCCCGUAACUUCCAUUAGGAGAGGCAUCCUCGCUCAGUUUCAACUGGUGGUUACUUAAGUUUCUUUUCUCUGCCGGAUUGCGUUUCAAAUUCAGACUUGUCUUUGUUAAACAACGCUUUCGGGUUGCCUAGACCAGAGAAUUCAAGAAAUAGAGACGCGCAUUGCCUAAUUGGUAGUUUAUUUCCCACCAUAGCUUUACUCAAGUGGAAAUCCUUUGAAUCGAACAAAAAGUUCGUAACCGCUAGGCUGCAUCGUCCCCUUCAACCAGAAUCAUCUAGAUUACAGAUUUCAUAACUGCAUUUUGCAAGAAGAGAGUGCCUCCCAUUCUCUGGAGUAACGAUAAUAAUAACACUCCACGUCGCCUUCAGGCUUGGAUCCAUGCCUUGCAUCUUCUUCUUUCUCAGAAAAGAACUCAGAUCGUUCAGAUUCUUUGCCAGGAGAGUCCCCGGCUUUCGAGCCCUACUCGUGGGAGUUGCUUUAUCCAUCAUUGCUAUUGGCAUCUUGGCGUUAAACAAUUCGUUUAUAUAAACACUUUUGACAUAGCAGAAUCCUUCUCAGGUUGAUUUGUGUGCCACUCAUCAUCAGACAGUGAAACGUACGGUCUAGCCCUUAGCUGAGGGAUCUUCACUCCUGUCCUGCCAUCCAUAUCCGUGCCCACCCGAACCAUGGGAAAGAAAGUUUGUCAGAAAUUACUUGUACUUGAGGGCAAUGAUAAAGUGAAGAAAAUUAUAGAAACAAUGAAAUGAAGCUAUGGCUCGAACUAUUGGAGAAGCCACCAUAGAAUAUAUCCAUGAGCUUCUCAAGCACUUCUUCUACCAAUUACUUUGUGACGAUUUCAAGGAAAAGUGAAUGAUUUCAAUCAAGAAAAGAAUCAUAUGCUCGAUCCGUCGUAACAAGAGGGAUAAGAAAGUAUCAACUCCAACCGCGGGAGCAUUUACUAUUUGGAAGUGUGCGAACGUAGCUGGUGGAUCGGGGAAACAGGAAAUCCUUGUGGUAAUGCCGUGGGAAUAGGAGUUGUUAGAGCGAGGUAUUGCAAUGAAACAGAUUGUUCAAUAGAUUUCUUCAUUGAUAAGGGUAAAUGGCAUUUUCAUGGUCAAAAUUCCAGAGAGGAGUUCCGAGCUUCAAGGAUGCCGGAUCGCACCAUUCAUAAGAGAAACCCUUGGGUGCCCGAUGAGGCACAAAACAGAUAACCAGACUGUGCCCUGGGCAAGGAAAUAACCAUGGCAAGCCACGAAAGGAAUGAAUAAGCUCCCUCCGGGCUCUCCCUUCGGAGUUUCACGCCAGUGGAACUCACAAAAGCAGCGCAGCUAAUGAAUCAAUGAAUCCGUGGGCAAAUCGUUGUGUCCAUACAUUUGAUGUGCCUUUUGAAAGUCGCAUUUGUUUUCAACAAUCGGAAAUGGGAAUAUUCCAUUCCAUGGCAUAGUUCUCAAUGUUAGUAAACGGAGUGCGUUAUCAACUCAAUAAUAAAUCUCCCCUACACCGUAACCGGAUUACAUUCAUUCAAGUUGGCAAUCCCCUGAUCUUUGCUUCCGGUGUGUGAUCCGAAUUGACAUAUAAUGACCGUAGUUAGCAGGCAAUGGCCAAGGUCAGUGCAUCUCGAACUAGUGGGUCACUAUAUCUAAACUAUCUAAUACAACUAUGGAAUGCGCUUUGAAUUGCACUUCUGCUCGUAACCACUACGAACCGGAAAGGAAGGAAGCAGCUUUAGAGGAGGGAUGCCGUCAAACAAAGGAUUUUUUAUAUGCUAAAGAUACCGGUUCAAUAUGUCAUUUCCGAAACUGAGGACCACACCGCUGGGAGGACAACUCAAGCACCAAAGACAAAGGUAUCACUCGUAAAAGUGAUUUUCAUCGUAGUACUCGCUCUAGCAUUAGGUUCAAUGCAGCGUGUAAAUACCUCUAGCCCUAGGGAAGGGGGCGUGCCGUUCCCAAUGGUGGAAUUGCUUCUUGUCUGCUUUGCCGAGGAGAGCGCUCGCUACCCGAUCCCCCUAAGCUAAUGUAGUUCCCAGGUUGCCUACUAGAUACCGUUUACGGCUAUAUCCGUGUAGGAAGCCGAGGAAAGAGAUAAUUGAUAGUUGCCAAAACCACGUAAAAGAAAUGAGAUUGAACAUAUUUCAAUUCAACAAAUUCUGAUUGUUUCAUUAUCAAAUGCAAGGGAUGUGGGACCAGGUUCUAUUAUUGGAGUUAAGCGGUGUAGGAGCCGUGCCGUUCCUGUGUAUUAGCUCGUUGUUAGCAGCCCCGAAGGGCGUAAAGGGGGUAAAAGAUUUCUCGGAAGCAGCUCUUCGCCUGUGGGAACUUGCUCUUUUCUUUUGUUUUAAAAUGCAACCUAUGCUGAAACAGCCGAAUAAAAACCAAAAAGUAAAGAGGUGGAUCAGUUGAUCCUUUUCUCGAUUGAAUGCGCUUUCUAUCUAUCUAUACUGGUACCAGGAAAAGCAGAAUAAGCAGUUGAGCACCAAGAAAUUCCUGUUUCAAGUAAGUACGAAGGGGCAAGAGAGACUGUCAUAAUAUUACUAUGGGAGACGGAUCCUGUUAAGUCAGUACGAAUGUGAUACGAAAAAUCCUCUUCCAUUCUUUCCGGCUGGGCAACAUGACUGAUGGGAAUGUUCGCUACUGCUUCGGCGUCCAUCUCAUACAUAUGUUCUCUGACCACCUCCAUAUUCCACGGCCUGGUUGCAGCAUGGAUAAGAUCCGACACAAACAUAGGUGGAUCAUUGGACCGCGGGCACAGCGGCAUCAUAACAUCUUGUUUCUCAAGAGUACGUAGCAAUCGGUCCUUCUUGGAGUUCAACAAAAUGAACAGUAGCUAAAUUGGAACUAAGGUGACCGAUCAUCCACCGGUGGGUAGAAAUAUGAAUGUUGACUAGGGUCCCCUGUGCUCAUUUGAUUCUGAGUCGGCAGCAUAUCAAGCUCCUAGCCCCGCCUUAACAACCCUCAUAGUGUUAUGUCCCCCGAUCGAUAGCUUAAUACAUUUCAAUAUUUGGCUUGCUUUCUUCAUUUUCCUUGCGUAGGUAGAAACCUUUCUGGGUGUGUCAGCACACCAAAUUAUAUGACUAUAUUCAAUAUGCCCUGAUGUCCAUUGUACCGUACUCAGACGACCCUACCCUUCCAGAAUAGUAGGAUUACAUUCAUCGUUCCAGCUGUAAACACAGUUUCUAGUUUGACUGAAUGAGAGUCAUGCAAUAGGCAUCAGUAGGGAGUGCGAAAGCAAAAGCUAAGUGAUCGGACUAACACAGAGUGCAUUUCUCCCGGGUAAGCUUAUGUUCCUGAUAUCUGAUACCUAUGUUUGCUCCUUAUUUUAUUAAUAAUUGAUCCAAUUUAUACGAAAAAUACGUAGGUUGAAGAAGUUAUCAAGAAAAAUGAUUGGGAUCUUUCAAUAUGCUAUUCUUGAUAUCAUGUUUUUUAUUCUUGAUCCUAUCAAGUAUGGAUUCUAGAUUGUUAGUUGGAGCAUCCUGACCAGUCUAGUUUAUUGUGAUAUGAUCCUGAGGGACUCUUCAAAUACAUGUAGGGAGUCACACAGGUCUCCGACAUAUCAAAUUGUAUCUGGAUUUGAGUCAGAGCAUUUCCUCUGAUUCCUAGCUCAGAAAUCUUUGCUUUAUUUACUAAAGAUUGGAGCACACAAGCGCACACGCAGUAAUCUGAUUGAGAAAAUGGAUAGUUGCUGCCAUCGAUAUUAAAGAGUCUGUCUAGUGCCAAAAAGGUCCUUCCAAGGCCUGAGCUAUCAAAUUCAUGUGAUACACACUUUGCUCUCUGCGGAUCACACUCAGCUUACUACAACUGAGGGUAGGAUUGGUUGCACAACGCAUGCUAUCCAUUUGUUAUUGGUGAUAGGAAGAUGGCUCAAUCAUUGAACUAGCAUUGAACAACCUACUUCAGAAAAAACUUAGAGUUAACCAUCUAGUGCGAAAGUGCUAGUUUCCCCCUCCCAGAGGUGAGAAGGGAGAUAUGAGCGUGGCGGUAUCUUUUCCUCUUUUGAUAGAAGCCCACAUGCCCACUCUUCUAUCCCACCUAUCCACAUGGGGUAUCAGUGGCCUCGUGAUCUCCAUGAACAGAGAUCACUACACAAAAACAACUAUAUGAAAAACUUGCUUGCUUCUUCAAAUCUCGAAAUAACAUAUAGAAAGUGUUUCUGUGAUGAGACCAUUCUCGAUCGAUAAAUGCGAUAGGAGCCUAUGUGUUUCACGGGCAGCCGGCCAAUAGGGGAAGGUUGUGAAUCCGGCGAACCGACCGCUUUAAGAACGUGAUUGUCUUCUCUCACUCAGUUAUCAAUUGACAAAGAUGACCCAUUCUUUUUCGCCCUAAAAACGACAAUGGUAUGGUACUUUUUCUUGAAAUCGAGAUUGUGUGGGUGUCCGCUCAUGUUCACGUUACAUGCUAAAUCAGGCUUUCCUUGGAAAAACCAAGGACAACCCCUAUCUCAGUCUCCUUUCCUUUCUCUUUUCGGGAGCAGAGCUGAAAAAGAUGGACAUUAACGAUCGCGUAAUAUCAAUUUAUCGGCCUCGUCAUCGAAAGCGGCUUCCAAUUGCUCGGAAAUUCUCAGCUAUAUGGGGGACUUUGAUGGUGAGCAAAAAUAAUUGAUCAAGAAAUUGGUAAACUUUCGCAUGAUCGAUGGUAAAAGAACGAGAGUUCGUGCUAUUGUUUAUAAAACUUUUCACCGCCUAGCUCGAACUGAACGCGAUGUAAUAAAACUUAUGGUUGACGCCGUAGAUAAUAUAAAGCCAAUAUGCGAAGUGGUCAAAGUAGGAGUCGCAGGUACUAUUUAUGAUGUUCCUGGGAUUGUAGCCAGGGAUCGUCAACAAACCUUAGCUAUUCGUUGGAUCCUUGGAGCAGCUUUCAAACGACGUAUAAGCUACAGGAUAAGCUUAGAGAAAUGUUCAUUUGCUGAGAUACUAGAUGCUUACCGAAAGAGGGGAAUUUCACGUAAGAGAAGGGAGAAUCUUCAUGGACUGGCUUCCACCAAUCGGAGUUUCGCGCAUUUCAGAUGGUGGUAAAGUGAUACCACAUAAGGAGCUCUUCCUCAUUCAGUCAUACUCAACAAAAGUAAGAAAUGUUUGACCCGGAUCCUUUUUUCAUCUUCAUAUAGAAAGAAAAUCGGCCUUCCUCAUACUCCCCCCUUCAUUCAUAGAGUUGGAGGAAUCCACAAGAGGCCUGCCCGUUCAUAAUUGCAUAAAAGAACCAUUCUUUUUAUGAAAACUCUUGUUCCAACCUCACCUCAGGUCGAAUGAAUACGAAAGGAGGAUCAAUCAAAUCAAUAAGCCAUGAAUGAAGAAGUAGUGGGCCUUUCGCCUUAUUUCGUUUGACUCGUGGAGCUGAGAAAUCUACUUCAAAGAGAGGGAAAGAGUGCUAGUCCGAAAGAACAAGCAAGGGAUGAGCGCACGGGAGCGAAAUCCGUUGCGCCCACGCGCAUACGUUUUCUUGCUGGGUAAUUUCUCAGAAAGUUUUUCUGUUGUUGAUUCCUAUUCCUAGGUGUUGUGCUUUUUCCCCUAUGCCGCCUAUUGGUACUAGUGGAGUAGGAUUGGCCUGUAAUACAAAACCUAUAGGUGGUGUAACCUUUCGCUCAAUACUCAAAUCUACAAUUGAAGCAUCUGAGGCUGCAUCAAUCGAGGAUACACGACAUAAGGAAUUGUUAGAUCUCCAAACUGAACUUCGCCUUCACCAAGCGUUGGUUUUCACUGGUCCUAACUAACGGUUGGCAAGCGAUCCCCUAUUCUGCAUCCCGAAGAUCAGACGGCCCAGAGCCGGAGCGAUCAUUCAAGCAAGUUACUCAGCUUGAGUUUUUCAGUCAAUCAAUAGAUUGUGCAAUUUCUUAGUCUUUUGGUCCACGUCUUCAUGACUUAUAGAAAGGGUUUCUUUCUUUUACAAGAUCAUGGAAGCUUCAGAAACCAUCCGAGAUCUUCUGGAAACAAGAAAUGUUGCAUCAAAGGGUUCAGUGGUCAUAUCAUAGUGAAAUCGAGUUUCUUGAUUUAGUCGAUAUCAAAUUCCCAACUUAGAAAUUCGAAAGGACUAAGAUUCUACUUCUUCCUCAAAUACUGGGAAUGUGGAUUCAAGUAUGAUAUCACUAUUCCACAGAUCUCAAGAAAACGAAUUGAACAAGUUUGAUGGCUGGAAGAAGAUAGGAAAUAUUCAAACAUGUAUUGCAUUUCAUCGAUCUCACCCUUUGUUCAGUGCCGCAUAAGUACCGACUUCUUGAACAGAUACCGGUACCGGUCAUGAAGGCUUCGCCCUUCUCAAGUCAAGUGCAGAAGCGAAAUCCGUUGAGCAAGAAGCCAGUGAUCCCACAACAUCAAAGUGAUACAUAUGACAUAUUGGAAAUUAGGCUUAGUUUGUAGCUGUGAAUAUAGUAAUGCACUUAUUUAUUGAUAAAUAUGUUCUUUCAAGUAGAGCAUACUCGGUAGAAAGGAGGUGGCGGAGCUGGGAAGAGGAUUAGACUUUAUCGAUUACUUGGACUUAGAGACCAAUUUUAGAAAGAAGACAGUAGCUGAGUGAGUUUUAUGGAUCUAGUUUAUGAGCAGCUUAACUAGAAAAGCAAGCAGAAGGAAUAGAAGAAUGAAAUGCAGAAAUAGGGGAAGGGCGGGUAGCAUUUUCAAAUGCCAGUUUGAGUGAGACAGUUUCUGUCUGGCCCCCCACUUUUAGGCAGUUCUUCCAUUCUGCCUUUGUCUUGCUCUAAGCUACCUGACUUCCUUCCUUUGUUCUUCCAUUCUACUUUGUAUGAUUCUGAUCAUCAGUUCUUAUUGAUCCCAUUUUAAGGAAAAAUCCUUAUGUUGGUAAAAUAUACGUGUUGAUCAAGGACAAUGAAGCAGCCAUGAAAAGAUUGAAGAACGAGGUAUGAUGAUUACUUCGGACUACUUUCUGUUCUUCAUGCAAAUGACCAUAUUUUCCGUCUGCAAUACAGGUAGAAGAUACUGAGUUGUUCAGAUGUUUACAGGAAAUCCAUGGGAAAAACUACCACAGCUUUGUAUUAAGCAAGCAGGUUCCAGUCGUUGGUAAUUUCAGGGAAGCCUACAUUGGCAUUGCUCCUGAGUUAGCCAAAGAGAUCGCGGAAGAAGUGGAUGUUAUCGUAAACUCUGCAGCAAAUACCACUUUUGAUGAGAGGUUCGUGAAGCUAUACUAGUCUUGCACCAAGGAUUGCUUCCAUUACUAAAUGUGUAAGUUCACAUUCCAUAGCAAGAAAAGUAUUGCAACUUGCAGGUAUGAUGUAGCACUAGACAUCAACACCGUGGGGCCAUUCCGGAUAAUGAGUUUCGCGCAGCGGUUUCGAAGACUGAAGCUCUUCUUGCAAGUAUCAACAGGUCAGAAUGCCAAAUAAGAGUUUCUUGUGGUCGAAAUCAAAUGGUAACCUGUUUCUAUUAAUCUCAAAAGCUUACAAACAAGCUUUAGCAGUAUGUUUGCAUGUCUUGUUUUUGGCCAAACGGCAUAUGUGAAUGGGCAGAGGCAAGGUUUGAUACUAGAGAAGCCAUUUUGCUUAGGGGAUACCAUAACAAAGGGGAUAGGUUCCUCAUAUUUUUCGGCACAUCAGAAUACCGUGUUGGAUAUCGAGGCUGAGAUCAAGUUGGCUUUUUACUCCAGAAGGCAUUCUUCUGCCUCUGCUUCUGUUACUCAAGAAAUGAAAGAGUUAGGUAGUCGAGGUAUUCUAGUAUUUCCCUGUUACUUUCUCAUGUCUGUAGAUACGAAUACACACAUGAAGUAUUUGAUUUGUGCAAUUUAUUUAUUCAUAGGGCCAAACUCUAUGGUUGGCAAGACACUUAUGUGUUCACAAAGGCCAUGGGCGAGAUGGUCAUCAACUGCAUGCGAGGAGAGAUACCGGUGGUAACAAUCAGGCCAAGUGUCAUAGAGAGCACAUGGAGGGAUCCCUUCCCAGGUUGGAUGGAAGGAAACAUGUAAAUGCUAAACCCAAAUCUGAGGUUGCGGAUGUCACAUAUAUAUGUGAUGCAUCCUCGUCUGCUUACCAGAUAAUGAGCUAUUUCCAGGAUCUAGCAGUGCGUACUAACUUUUGACGGGUUGAUGGUGAGGAUCAAGUAUAUGACCUAUAUUCCUCACUAUUAGAGGACUUCAAAGAGGAGAUUCCAUAAUAAUCUCUGGAAGCUAGUGUCAAGGAAGCCGUUAGCCGUCACCUUAACUGAAAGUUGGUGAAGAAGGUGUAUAUGCCUCUUGUCUAUGGUAAGACACAACAUAGUGCAGCAGCGGACAUCCAGAAGGGGCUUGACUUCAUUAGAAAACGUGCUGAAAGCAACAAAGUGGCGGACUUUUUUUUUUGCAUUCUGGGACAAGAAAUUCCCAGCCAUUGCUAGGCUGAGCCAUGUUAGCAAAGAAUGGUUUCUCCAACAAUAUGAGGAUAAAUCCCUUACUAAAAUGGUAGUGGUCACAAACCCCUUCCGUGUACAAUUGAAAACAUUAACAAUACGAAAGCAAGAAUCAUCAUUUAUACUGGGAAUGCCUUCCUCUACCAAAAGAGAAAGAGUUGAAGAUAACGAAGGAAAGUGGGUGGAUACAAAACCAGUUCAUAUCACUUGUCUUUCUGGUCUUUCAGAAUCUCAUCGAAUACUAGUAAAUGCUUUCGAAGAGAAAAUAGAAGCACUAGAGAGCUCAAGUUCACUUCAUUCAUCACAAGAUGCAAAUGAGAAUCAAAAUGGAGCUAAUGAGGAAGAAAUCACUUCUACUUCAACUUUUUUGAGUGAAAUACCAACCAACACAUAAAGCAAUAACCAGAUAGAUAGAAUGAUAACAGGUAAUACAAAGAUAUCAACACAGCCGGAGUCACGAGGCUUGAUAAUGACCAAUGGGUUAGGAUCUGAGGAAGCUUAGUUUGGAUGAUGGAAUAUUCGCUGUUCUGAUUGUUGAGAUACUGCAAAUCCACUUAUCCAACAAUUUCAGUCCAUUUUCCUANNNNNNNNNNNNNNNNNNNNNNNNNNNNNNNNNNNNNNNNNNNNNNNNNNNNNNNNNNNNNNNNNNNNNNNNNNNNNNNNNNNNNNNNNNNNNNNNNNNNNNNNNNNNNNNNNNNNNNNNNNNNNNNNNNNNNGGGGGGGGGGGGAAGCAUUAUUAUAUCCUUAAUAUGACUCUCUGUCACACGGAUGCUGCUGGGCUGCUACAAAACCCCUAUAGUCGAAAAAAAGAUCGAAACAGUGAUAAAACGUAGGAUAACCCAGAUCACUCGGACUAGCUGAACUCUCCAGAACAAACACAACCUAGGUGGUUUGACUAACGUUUUGGCACAUUAGACUAACCUAAGACAACUCAUGGAUAGAUUCAGUCCUAUCGAGAUACAAGCUGUUACCAACCUGAUACAACGCAAGUCACAAGCUUGACACAGCGAGAAUGGCUGCAACUGACAACUCCUGCAUCUGAGAUUGACAACUCUAGUAACAGAGAAUGACAACUCCUGCAACAGAUAUUGACAGAGCAUGACACUCUCAACUGAGCUCAAUCCAGCUGUG